GAGCAUAGCUGGGGAGCAGCGCGGAGGGUCCGGAGUCCGGCGCGGAUGCGGUGGCGGCGCCCAGGGACCCCCACCGCGGGCAGGGCACCGCACGCUGCGCGACGCGGAGCGGAGAAGCGGCGCGAUCCCGGCGAUCCCAGGAGAAGCUGCACGGAUCCACUCGGAGUUAAAACCACGUGGGAACUCCAACCUAUAACAGAGACGCCAUGGGUUCCUCACUAUUUAGGAGAUUAAGUUAAGUCUUUUGCCCCCUGGGCUAUUACAGUAACUUCCUGAUGUGGAAAUAUUAACUAUGCUGUUUCUUUAACUCCCCCCAUCCCCUCCCUCCCUCCCUCCCGGUUCCUGCAAACACACCCACCACACACCGGCUUGCGUCCCUGUCCNNNNNNNNNNNNNNNNNNNNNNNNGCCGGGAGAUGGAUGCCCCCUUCUUCCCCUCCCCCGGUGCUCCUUGCCUUUUAAGCACUUGAAAGAAGAAGUCAU
rnacentral:lncRNA from 1 species